UGUUGUCAUUUGGCUGCUACAGAAGCUGAGGCCUAGAGAACAGGUUGAGCUCAAGGCCACGGAGUUCAUAAGCAUUGGCGCCAAAACACAAACCCAGGCUAGGGUAUGGAAUAUUCAGUAGCCAUGUGAGUCUAUUUCAGGAUACCAAGUCCUGGGCUCAAGGGAAGUGAAUUGUCCACUGACAGUUUUGGCUAAAGGGAUCAGUGGACCCUUUGGAAAUUUAGCACUUAAAGUUCCUGGCGCCUGGGACUCUGCUAGAUGCUGUGGGGACCCUCACAGGGCGAGAAGACACAGUUACUUCCGGAAGCUCACAGUGUAGUUAAGAGAACAACUCACAUGCAAGAGCCUCUUAUGACUCACAUGGACUUGCUGAGAGGUUUGUUCUGUGGGUCCCUGUGUGUGAGAGUCUGUGUUGGUGUGAGUGUUUAUGAGUGUCCGUGUAUGUGUACAUGUGUGUAACAGGAGCGGGGGUGUGAGAAGAGACGGCAGUGCUAAGGGGGUGGCGGUAGGAGAAGUGAUGAGACUGCAGAGCCCACUGAGGGGGCUGGGAGCCCACGGUCCUGCCUGGAUGGUGAGGCAAGAGGAUUCCUUGUGGAGGUGACACUCGAAGUCAAGUGGCAGCACCCUAGACUAUCUGGGGAGCUUGAAAAAAUAUCAGUGCUGAGAAUUCCCUAAUGGUCCAGCAGUUGGGACUCCUCGCUCUCACUGCUGAGGGCUUGGGUUCAAUCCCUAAUUGGGGAACUAAAAUCCUACAAGCUGCCUGCAAGUUGCAUAGUACAACCAAAAAAAAAAAAACAAACAAAAAAAAACACCCUGAAAUUCCCAAAAUACCAGUGUCUGAGCCCUACCCACAUGCUAAGUCACUUCAGUCGUGUCUGACUCUUUGCAAACCCUAUGAACCUCCCAGGCUCCUCUGCCAAUGGGAUUGUCCAGCCAAGAAUACUGGAGUGGGUUGCCAUUUCCUUCUCCAAGGGAAUCUUCCCAACCCAGGGAUCGAACCCAUGUCUCUUGUGUCUCCUGCAUUGGCAGGGAGAUUCUUUACCACUAGCGCCACCUGGGAUAGCCUACCUACAGAGACUCAUUUAACUGGACCAAGCCAGGGAUAGGAGAGAGACAAGUCAUUUUUAGAAGCCCUCUUCAUAAUUCUGCAAGUAUCUGGACUGAAAACUGUACAAGUACAUACUUUCCCAGCAUCUUCCAGACCUCUCUGUUUUGAAUCCAAACUGCAGAUCUUUCAACAGACUCCCUGGUGCUGGACCUUCUUGUUCUCUCUUUCCUGUGACUGAGAGGUCAGAUGACCAUGUAGACGCCUGCUAGGCAGGGCCACCACCUGCUGCUGUAAAUCUGAUGCACUUGCAUCAUCGCUCUGCCCCACGUAUCGUCAGUAUCUUGUAUCUACAUCUGGAUGGACCGUCUGUUGUUUCUGCCUUGUAGCAGUUUGUGCAGUCACAGGGGACGUGUGCUGUGUGCUGGUCCACCGCUGGGGCUUUUGUCCUGUAAAUAUAUGCUGGGGGCUGAGGGUGGUGAUGUGUCUUGAGUGUAAACCACCCACAAAAAGAUGCCAUGGAAUCAGCCAGUAGAACCUUGGGAGGGCUUUGUUCAGCUUUUUGGCAUCUCGAUCGGCAUCAAAACGCUGAUGACUUUUUGCUUUGGUAUCUCGACCAGCAUCCAAGCCUUGAUGACUUUUCUCUUUGGCCUACAAGAAAAAAUAAUUGCAAAGGUGAGUGGACAAUUUGUUGUUGUUGUUCAGUCAUUAAGUUGUGUCUGACUCUUUGGGCAUUAAAAAUGAUAUCUGGCUGAAAUUGGCAGCUAAAAGGAAGACCAAGCAGACACCCAGAUGAGGGAACAGCUGCUGCUGUACACAUGGGUACGUGUGGAAAUCAGCUGGGGAAGCUCUGGCUGCAGAGAGAUGGCUGGUACCUCCUGGAGCCAGCUGGACUCGGAUGCCCACAGAGAAUGGGCCCCUUUGUUCUCAGGGACAAUCAGCCUGGUCAGCUCUGGGAGGAGUGAUUUUCUCAUCGACUCCUCCUCUGUGUGUCUGUCUCCGAAACAGAGAGUAAUACAGUGGGCCAGUGUCUUGGAAUGCUGGUUUUUCCCCUUUGCCUUGAGACACAGCCUGUCUAGGGAAUAGUUGCUGCCUGCCAGAAACUGAGGAUUCUAGGAUCUUCUUACAGAUCCAUUUUGUAAGCUGGGCUAAAGCUUUACCAUUCACACAAUGAGAGACGUACUCUUUAAUUUGUCAGAGAUAACCCUAUGGAACAAAACAGGGGUAUUGGUUUUUACUGAUCCUUGGGAAGAGAAAGCUCUGUAUGUACACUCAUCUAAUGUUUCCCAUAUUUUAGUCAUUGGCAUAGUAUAUCCAGUAAAUGUCCACAGCUAUCUAGGUCUACAUUAUUAUUAUUUGCUUAUUAUUUUUCUCUCAAGUGACCUAGUUUGUUUUGCUUAAAGUUAGUUUCCAGAAAGAAACUUUCUGUUAGCACUGAAGUGGAAAACCAGUGUUGCUUGCUUAAACAGAAGGUAAGCAUAAAAAAAAUCAGUGCACUGCUAUUAAGAAUUUAAAGACGUGAGGUUAAUCACAAUUAUGCAACGAGUAGCUUUGAACACCCCCUGGCUUUUCUCAGCUCUUUAUCUCUCCUCAGAGACCUUCUUUAAUGACAAGCAUCACUUAUUUGCCAUCCUUCCGGGAAAGUUGGCGUAAGUGUUACUGUCUACACUCCCCGAUUCUCCUCUCCCUCCUUUCGUUUCUGUGGGCGCCUAUUGGGAAUGAGCAGUAAACCACACAAAGCACAGAGGAGGACUGCAUUCAUCUGCUGGCAGCUCUGUCCUUUGAGGACUUCCCCUCCCCUAUUCCAUGCGGCCGCACUGGGGCUGUCAGUCAUGAGGCUUGAGCUCCGUUGUCCUGCCCUUGGGUGGACAUGCACUCUGUCACUCAGGCAGUAGUGACUGGUUCUGGAGUGGGGAUGUAAUCCAAGCAGGAUCAGUUAGAAAUUUCCCUGCUUUGAUAUAUGGAUAUUGGGAGAGAGAUGUCUCUCCCUGCCAGGUUUGCUAAGCUGACUGAGCAUGAGUGUAGGGUGUGUUGGUAGCCAUGUGGUCCACUCCAUGAAGGAAGCGUGGGUUCAGUAUGGAGCAAAGCAAAGGCAAUCAGAGUGGAAAUACAGAGACAGAGAGAGAGAAUAUAACUAGGGGCUGGAGGAGGGCUGACUUUUAGGUUUUGGUUAAUGGAGAACCGUAUAAUUUUAGAGACGAAGGGAUAUCAGGACCUCCCCCCCCCCCAUUGCCUUUUGGAAUGUAGUGUAUAGCCCAUCCCCCCCGCCCCAUUUUUUGACCCCGUGUGACGUGAGGGAUCUUAGUUCCCCAACCAGGGAUCAAACCCACACUCCCUGCAGUAGAAGCACCGUGUCUUAACCCGUGGACCUUUAGGGAAGUCCUACCUGGCCCAUCUUCAAGUUUCUAUUCCUGAAACAAGCUGGAGAGGGACUCAUAUUUGUUGAGCACCUGCCACAUGCUAGACGACUCCUUCACUGACAGACCUUUCUUCACAGGGGAGAGUGGGCGUUAGUCAUCUGAUUUACAGAGGAGGAAGCCUGGGUUCACGCGGGUCAGAGCACCUAUCUGUGUUCUUGCAGGAUGCAUGUGUGCACCAGCUCAAUUUGUCUCCUAAAGCCCAUGCUCUUGUGUCUCCUGCACCAUCUUCCGUGUGUGCGUGCUCAGUCACUUCAGUCGUAUCCAACUCUGUGC